ensembl:misc_RNA Metazoa_SRP Metazoan signal recognition particle RNA
GCUGGGCACAGUGGCACAUGCCUGUAGUCCCAUUUAUCAGGAGGCUGAGGCAGGAGGAUUGCUUGAGCCCAGGAGUUCUGGGCUGUAGUAUACUAUGUCAGCUGGUUAAUGCACUAAGUUUGGCAUCAAUAUGGUGACCUUCGGGUAGUGGGGAACUACCAGGUUGCCUAAGGAGGGGUGACUGGCCCAGACUGGAAAUAGAGUUGAUCAAAAUUCCUGUGUUGAUUGGUAGUGAGAUCGUGCCUGUGAAUAGCCACAGCACUCCAGCCUGGGCAACAUAGCAAGACCCCAUCUCUC